rnacentral:snRNA from 1 species
AAAAAGGGUAUCCGAGUCAGGUGUUCGCAACGAAAGCGCGCCGAGUCGCACUGCGCCUUGGGACCAUCUAGCAUCCUUCGGGGAGCGGGGGUCGAGUUUCCAAUCUGCUCACCCUUCGAUGGGAUCCCUAUGUGCCCAGUGGGGUAUGGCUUUGCAUAUCCGAGGCUCAAUUUUUGAAUGUGGGGCUUGACAGCUGCACCUCGUAUGGUCCGAAUGGUACGGACCUGUGCGCUGCGCCCCG